UACGUAGGUGACCAGCGUUGUCCGGAUUUACUGGGCGUAAAGAGCGCGCAGGCGGUCGUUCAAGUCGAGUGUGAAAGCCCCCGGCUCAACUGGGGAGGGUCAUUCGAUACUGAUCGACUUGAAGGCAGGAGAGGGAAGCGGAAUUCCCGGUGUAGUGGUGAAAUGCGUAGAUAUCGGGAGGAACACCAGUGGCGAAGGCGGCUUCCUGGCCUGUUCUUGACGCUGAGGCGCGAAAGCUAGGGGAGCAAAACGGG
rnacentral:rRNA from 1 species